CCUACGGGAGGCAGCAGUGGGGAAUAUUGCACAAUGGGGGAAACCCUGAUGCAGCGACGCCGCGUGAGUGAAGAAGGAUUUCGGUAUGUAAAGCUCUAUCAGCAGGGAAGCAAAUGACGGUACCUGAUUAAGAAGCCCCGGCUAACUACGUGCCAGCAGCCGCCGUAAUACGUAGGGGGCAAGCGUUAUCCGGAUUUACUGGGUGUAAAGGGAGCGUAGACGGGAGUACAGGUCUGGAGUGAAAUGUCGGGGCUUAACCCCGGAACUGCCUUGGAAACUGUGCAGCUAGAGUGCAGGAGAGGUAUGUGGAAUUCGUAGUGUAGCGGUGAAAUGCGUAGAUAUUAGGAAGAACACCAGUGGCGAAGGCAGCAUACCGGCCUGUAACUGACGUUGAGGCACGAAAGCGUGGGGAGCGAACAGGAUUAGAUACCCGUGUAGUC
rnacentral:rRNA from 1 species